AUCUUUCAAAUAAUCCGAACCGUAUCGAAUCGACUCGUACUAGGUUCGAGAAAAGGUAGAGGGUCGGUGUGAUGAUGCUCAUGAUGUAUUCAGGAUGAUGUAAAAAUCAUUUUUGUUGAAAGUUAGACGUUGGAUGCUGACUGAAGUGACAUUUGGUGAGAUUACUUGAGAGCUGAGAUCUGACUAUCCCUGUGUUUCUAGACUUUGUGUAGUUUCAUCAUGUAGCAGUUAUCUUGUUACUUUCUUCAAGAGUUGGCUCACAGUCUUCGUAGUCAUACAACAGUGGGGAAAAUCUCAUGAAGAACAAAUCCCCUUUGCCCUAUUUGCACUGAUAUGAUUGUCAAGAUGGAUUUUUUGAUCUUGGUCUUGAAAUGAUGGAUUUGAAGGAGGAGGAGGAGGUGGGGCUACCUGCAAGUUACCCCAGCCCUCUUACCAGCCCCACCCCUCCUAAACCUCUCGCCCCAUUCCAGUUAUUUUUUCACCACAAUGGACUGGAGUCGUACCUCAAGUAUUUCCCGAAUGAUUUCACCCUUGGUCAUUUCCGUGCCCUGACGGAGGAUGAUUUGGAAGAUGAUUAUGGAGUGCAGAAGCUGCCGGAUAGGAUCAAGUUGAUGAGAGCUGUGCACAAGUCGAGAGAGGAGUAUGAUGAUAGAGAGAGGGAUCUGGAUAGGCGGUCACAUCAUGGUGGAGGAGAGUCAGAAGGAGA